rnacentral:lncRNA from 1 species
AUUUGGUGAGUAAAAAUAUUGCUCACGAUUUGUUUGCUUGGUGAGGUAAUACUCACAAUUUGUUGGUUUGGUUUUGUUUGGUGAGUCUAGUGCUCACAAUUUGGUUUCUUGUGGUCUCUCUGGUUUGAUUGUCUCUCCCCUUUUGAUUUCUUCUUUGUUUGAUCGGUAUUCUCCCUCAUUGGCUUCUUCUGUUUAAUUGGUUCUCUCUAUUUGGUUCUUCUCUUUGAUUGUCUCUCUAUUGAUUUCUUCUGAUUGAUUGACCUCUCUCUGUCAUUCUUCUGAUUGAUUACAUUUCUCCAUAUUGACUUCUUCUAUUUGGUUGCACUUCUCCCUAUUGUUUCUUCUGAUCGAUUGCACUUCUCCCUCUAUUGAUUCUGAUAGAUUGCAUUGCAUUUCUCCCUAUUUGGUUUCUUCUGUUUGAUUGCCUCUAUCUGAUUGCUUCUCUAUGUUGAUUUUCUGAUUGCAUCUCUCUCCGUAUUGAUUCUUCUUCUAUUUGAAUGCUUCUUUUUCUCUCUACUUUGGAUUGGUUUGAUUUGGUUCAAUUUGGAUUGGAACAAUUUGGUUUGGUUUCCUGUUCGGUUUGGUUUUGUUUGGACGUUUCUACUGAUGAUGGUUAUUGCUGCAUUUUCAAUGAUGUCAACUCACUUUGGUUGCUGCUCUCUGUUAGUUAUUUUGGUUUGAUGUCUUUGUUCGACAAACUCUCAAUGUUUCAUGUCAAGGCAUUGCGAGUUUGCGGGGAGAUGUUAGAUAAUAUGUUAGUGAUUUAAUAAUAUAAUGGGUUUUUGGUUGUAAUUGGGCUUUGGGCAU